rnacentral:rRNA from 1 species
GACGAACGCUGGCGGCGCGCCUAACACAUGCAAGUCGAACGGAGAUAAGGAGGAGCUUGCUCCACCUUAUCUGAGUGGCGGACGGGUGAGUAACGUGUGAGUAACCUGCCUUAAAGAGGGGGACAACAGUUGGAAACGACUGCUAAUACCGCAUAACGCAUUCGAGGGGCAUCCCUUGAAUGCCAAAGAUUUAUCGCUGAAAGAUGGGCUCGCGUCUGAUUAGCUAGUUGGCGGGGUAACGGCCCACCAAGGCGACGAUCAGUAGCCGGACUGAGAGGUUGAACGGCCACACUGGGACUGAGACACGGCCCAG